rnacentral:rRNA from 1 species
GCCUCGUAUUUAAAAUAGUCUUUGUACCUAGCAGUAUCCUGAGUACGGCGGGACACGUGAAAUCCCGUCGGAAUCUGGGAGGACCAUCUCCCAACCCUAAAUACUCCCUAGUGACCGAUAGUGAACCAGUACCGUGAGGGAAAGGUGAAAAGCACCCCGGGAGGGGAGUGAAAUAGAACCUGAAACCGUGUGCCUACAACAAGUUCGAGCCCGUUAAUGGGUGAGAGCGUGCCUUUUGUAGAAUGAACCGGCGAGUUACGUUAUGAUGCGAGGUUAAGUUGAAGAGACGGAGCCGUAGGGAAACCGAGUCUGAAUAGGGCGCCUUAGUAUCAUGACGUAGACCCGAAACCAUGUGACCUACCCAUGAGCAGGUUGAAGGUGCGGUAAGACGCACUGGAGGACCGAACCAGGGCACGUUGAAAAGUGCUUGGAUGACUUGUGGGUAGCGGAGAAAUUCCAAACGAACUUGGAGAUAGCUGGUUCUCUCCGAAAUAGCUUUAGGGCUAGCGUCGACAUUAGAGAUUCUUGGAGGUAGAGCACUGUUUGGGUGAGGGGUCCAUCCCGGAUUACCAAUCUCAGAUAAACUCCGAAUGCCAAUGAAUUAUGGUCGGCAGUCAGACUGCGAGUGCUAAGAUCCGUAGUCGAAAGGGAAACAGCCCAGACCACCAGCUAAGGUCCCAAAAUAAUUGUUAAGUGGAAAAGGAUGUGGGGUUGCACAGACAACUAGGAUGUUAGCUUAGAAGCAGCUAUUCAUUCAAAGAGUGCGUAAUAGCUCACUAGUCGAGUGACCCUGCGCCGAAAAUGUACCGGGGCUAAAACAAUUUACCGAAGCUGUGGAUACCUUUAUAGGUAUGGUAGGAGAGCGUUCUAUGUGUGAUGAAGGUAUACCGUGAGGAGUGCUGGAACGCAUAGAAGUGAGAAUGCCGGUAUGAGUAGCGAAAGACAGGUGAGAAUCCUGUCCACCGUAAGACUAAGGUUUCCAGGGGAAGGCUCGUCCGCCCUGGGUUAGUCGGGACCUAAGGAGAGACCGAAAGGUGUAUCCGAUGGACAACAGGUUGAUAUUCCUGUACUAGAGUAUGUAGUGAUGGAGGGACGCAGUAGGCUAACUAAAGCAGACGAUUGGAAGAGUCUGUCUAAGCAGUGAGGUGUGAAUUGAGUCAAAUGCUUAAUUCUAUAACAUUGAGCUGUGAUGGGGAGCGAAGUUUAGUAGCGAAGUUAGUGACGUCACACUGCCAAGAAAAGCUUCUAGCGUUUAAACAUACUCUACCCGUACCGCAAACCGACACAGGUAGUCGAGGCGAGUAGCCUCAGGUGAGCGAGAGAACUCUCGUUAAGGAACUCGGCAAAAUGACCCCGUAACUUCGGGAGAAGGGGUGCUGACUUAAAGUCAGCCGCAGUGAAUAGGCCCAAGCAACUGUUUAUCAAAAACACAGCUCUCUGCUAAAUCGUAAGAUGAUGUAUAGGGGGUGACGCCUGCCCGGUGCUGGAAGGUUAAGAGGAGUGCUUAGCGUAAGCGAAGGUAUGAAUUGAAGCCCCAGUAAACGGCGGCCGUAACUAUAACGGUCCUAAGGUAGCGAAAUUCCUUGUCGGGUAAGUUCCGACCCGCACGAAAGGCGUAAUGAUUUGGGCACUGUCUCAACGAGAGACUCGGUGAAAUUUUAGUACCUGUGAAGAUGCAGGUUACCCGCGACAGGACGGAAAGACCCCAUGGAGCUUUACUGCAGUUUGAUAUUGAGUGUCUGUACCACAUGUACAGGAUAGGUAGGAGUCUAAGAGAUCGGGACGCCAGUUUCGAAGGAGACGCUGUUGGGAUACUACCCUUGUGUUAUGGCCACUCUAACCCAGAUAGGUGAUCCCUAUCGGAGACAGUGUCUGACGGGCAGUUUGACUGGGGCGGUCGCCUCCUAAAAGGUAACGGAGGCGCCCAAAGGUUCCCUCAGAAUGGUUGGAAAUCAUUCGCAGAGUGUAAAGGUAUAAGGGAGCUUGACUGCGAGAGCUACAACUCGAGCAGGGACGAAAGUCGGGCUUAGUGAUCCGGUGGUUCCGUAUGGAAGGGCCAUCGCUCAACGGAUAAAAGCUACCCUGGGGAUAACAGGCUUAUCUCCCCCAAGAGUUCACAUCGACGGGGAGGUUUGGCACCUCGAUGUCGGCUCGUCGCAUCCUGGGGCUGUAGUCGGUCCCAAGGGUUGGGCUGUUCGCCCAUUAAAGCGGCACGCGAGCUGGGUUCAGAACGUCGUGAGACAGUUCGGUCCCUAUCCGUCGCGGGCGUAGGAAAUUUGAGAGGAUCUGCUCCUAGUACGAGAGGACCAGAGUGGACUUACCGCUGGUGUACCAGUUGUCUUGCCAAAGGCAUCGCUGGGUAGCUAUGUAGGGAAGGGAUAAACGCUGAAAGCAUCUAAGUGUGAAACCCACCUCAAGAUGAGAUUUCCCAUGAUUAUAUAUCAGUAAGAGCCCUGAGAGAUGAUCAGGUAGAUAGGUUAGAAGUGGAAGUGUGGCGACACAUGUAGCGGACUAAUACUAAUAGCUCGAGGACUUAUCCAA